rnacentral:rRNA from 1 species
AGAGUUGAUCCUGGCUUAGGACGAACGCUGGCGGCGUGCCUAACACAUGCAAGUCGAGCGAGGAGAUUCCUUCGGGAUGGAUCCUAGCGGCGGACGGGUGAGUAACACGUGGGCAACCUGCCUCAUAGAGAGGAAUAGCCUUCCGAAAGGGAGAUUAAUACCUCAUAACAUUGCAGUUUCGCAUGGAACAGCAAUUAAAGGAGUAAUCCGCUAUGAGAUGGGCCCCGCGGCGCAUUAGCUAGUUGGUGAGGUAACGGCUCACCAAGGCGACGAUGCGUAGCCGACCUGAGAGGGUGAUCGGCCACAGUUGGGACUGAGACACCGGCCCAGACUCCGUACGGGAGGCAGCAGGUGGGAAUAUUGCACAAUGGGGAAACCCUGAUGCAAGCAACGCCGCGUGAGUGAUGACGGCCUUCGGGUUGUAAAGCUCUGUCUUCAGGGACGAUAAUGACGGUACCUGAGGAGGAAGCCACGGCUAACUACGUGCCAGCAGCCGC